rnacentral:lncRNA from 1 species
GUGGAUAGGUAAUUUGCAUCAGAGGUCUAUAGGAUCUCCGCCAUUAGUUUCCCAUUAGAAAAUUGAGUUACUAAAUUAAGGAAGAUGUCCAAAGAGAGGUAAUCGAUGGCAUGAUAUGCAUCAGAAGAUCCUCAUCACUAAAGUAGUACUCCACCAGUCCACCUACAGUUUUGGAACAUAUAAACACGGCAUCAAAGUGCUACCUGGCACCAAAUGAAGAGUUCAGGUCAGGGUGUUAUACUGCAGCUAAGCAGUAUAGUCUGAAUUUCUAAGUUUGAGGAGGAUUUCAGUGUUUCUAAAGAAAGGGACAAGGAUCAGGGCUAUAAGAUUGUUGAAAGACUCAGAGACAUGUACCAUGAAUCGGGUACAAUAUGCUUUCUACCCGUCUUUUCCUUAUAUUGACUAAACUUUAGUAAAUAACUAUUUCCAGUUUUCUCAUGUAACUUGAACUGCUGCUGGUUUAAAUUUCAGUUCCGUAAGCUGCGGCACACAUGGUCUGCCUCCGUGUCGUCCUACCUGCUUCAGGGCCCUCUACUUCUUCCCCCAAGAUUGCCAUUAUGAUUAACAAAUCUGACGAGAGCAAUUUAAUUGGUGACACAUCAUAUUUAUUCUGCAACUGCAUGUGAAUUCUCAUCUUGCGCCUACCUCUUUUGCUUACCAGGUUGCAAAAUUUCAUUAACUUAUUUGUCGAAGUAUCCUGCAAAAUCAUUUCUCUUAUGGAAAUUAGCCUAUUGUAUUAAUCUAACAAGGUCCACUUCAACCUACGUAACAAUUAUGAAGUGAAGAUGGAGAGCUUUAGGCAAAAAAAGAAAAAAAAC